rnacentral:rRNA from 1 species
GACUGGGGCGGUCGCCUCCUAAAGCGUAACGGAGGCGCGCGAAGGUUGGCUCAGAGCGGUCGGAAAUCGCUCGUUGAGUGCAAUGGCAGAAGCCAGCCUGACUGCAAGACUGACAAGUCGAGCAGAGUCGAAAGACGGCCAUAGUGAUCCGGUGGUCCCAAGUGGGAGGGCCAUCGCUCAACGGAUAAAAGGUACGCCGGGGAUAACA